AGUGAACGCUGGCGGUAGGCCUAACACAUGCAAGUCGAACGGCAGCACAGGAGAGCUUGCUCUCUGGGUGGCGAGUGGCGGACGGGUGAGGAAUACAUCGGAAUCUACUCUGUCGUGGGGGAUAACGUAGGGAAACUUACGCUAAUACCGCAUACGACCUACGGGUGAAAGCAGGGGAUCUUCGGACCUUGCGCGAUUGAAUGAGCCGAUGUCGGAUUAGCUAGAUGGCGGGGUAAAGGCCCACCAAGGCGACGAGCCGUAGCUGGUCUGAGAGGAUGAGCAGCCACACUGGAACUGAGACACGGUCCAGACUCCUACGGGAGGCAGCAGUGGGGAAUAUUGGACAAUGGGCGCAAGCCUGAUCCAGCCAUACCGCGUGGGUGAAGAAGGCCUUCGGGUUGUAAAGCCCCUUUGUUGGGAAAGAAAUCCAGCUGGCUAAUACCCGGUUGGGAUGACGGUACCCAAAGAAUAAGCACCGGCUAACUUCGUGCCAGCAGCCGCCGUAA
rnacentral:rRNA from 1 species